AGAGUUUGAUCCUGGCUCAGAGCGAACGCUGGCGGCAGGCUUAACACAUGCAAGUCGAGCGGGCACUUCGGUGUCAGCGGCGGACGGGUGAGUAACGCGUGGGAACGUGCCCUCUGGUUCGGAAUAACUCAGGGAAACUUGAGCUAAUACCGGAUACGCCCUUUUGGGGAAAGGCUUGCUGCCGGAGGAUCGGCCCGCGUCUGAUUAGCUAGUUGGUGAGGUAACGGCUCACCAAGGCGACGAUCAGUAGCUGGUCUGAGAGGAUGAUCAGCCACACUGGGACUGAGACACGGCCCAGACUCCUACGGGAGGCAGCAGUGGGGAAUAUUGGACAAUGGGCGCAAGCCUGAUCCAGCCAUGCCGCGCGAGUGAUGAAGGCCUUAGGGUUGUAAAGCUCUUUUAUCCGGGACGAUAAUGACGGUACCGGAGGAAUAAGCCCCGGCUAACUUCGUG
rnacentral:rRNA from 1 species